AUUGAACGCUGGCGGCAGGCCUAACACAUGCAAGUCGAACGAGUGGCGGACGGGUGAGUAAUGUCUGGGAAACUGCCCGAGGGGGGGGGAUCACUACUGGAAACGGUCGCUAAUACCGCAUACCCUCGUGUGUCCCCAGGUGGGAUUAGCUAGUAGGGGGGGUAACGGCUCACCUAGGCGACGAUCCCUAGCUGGUCUGAGAGGAUGACCAGCCACACUGGAACUGAGACACGGUCCAGACUCCUACGGGAGGCAGCAGUGGGGAAUAUUGCACAAUGGGCGCAAGCCUGAUGCAGCCAUGCCGCGUGUGUGAAGAAGGCCUUCGGGUUGUAAAGCACUUUCAGCGGGGAGGCGUUACCCGCAGAAGAAGCACCGGCUAACUCCGUGCCAGCCGCCGCGGUAAUUC
rnacentral:rRNA from 1 species